rnacentral:lncRNA from 1 species
UGGGGGAGGCCUGAGAGAUAUCCAAUGCAGGCGCGGGCUGGGCACACACCGGGAGUCCAGGAAGGACGACGAGCUCCCUGAGUCCCAGUUAAAGCCAGGGGGGCCUGACUGGUGGGAAGGGCGAGCUGGGAAAAGCUGAGAGAGGCACGCAGCCCAGCCAGGCAGAAGUCAGGAGCCAGGCACCUGCCAAGAGAGGGAGUAAGAUGUUCAAGGGGAGCUCCAGAAGAACUUUCAGAUACAGCACUGGACUUGGCUGGGGACACAGCAGCACGGGGCUGCAAGGCCCAGAGAUCUGGACACAGGCCAAGAAGUCAAGAACUGUUGAAGCCGCAGUCUCCACUCUCCUACUGACACCAGAGACCACCCAGCCCAGCCACACCAUAUGGCCUCUUGUUUUCCUGAUGUAUGAGGUGGGUAGAACGCUUUUCCCCCAAAAGAGGACUCCAAGGGAUCAAUUAGUUAAAAUCUGUAAACAUGUAGCAUUAUAAUUACGAUUCCGGCUUCUAGUCGAAAUGAAACUGGCCAAAAGGAAAGCAAAUACUGACACUGCCUCUGAGGGCAGCUGCCACUGCUUUUCCGGUAUUUCCAGUCUGGUUGGUUGAAGAAUGUCUUGGAUCAGCUCAGCGCUUGACUGGCCCAGAGCUGUGCCUGCCCCAUUUGAAGAUAAGGAGGCCAAAAACCCAACUGAGCCCCGGACAUAACUAGGCCAUGGGAGUUUACACCAUUUGCUGUAGCAAACGCUGGGCCUCUCAAUAGGUUACAAUGUGUCUAAGGCAGGGCCCUAAACCUUCAGGUUGUUUAGGAAUUGACAGGUUGUGUAGAUGGCCAGUAAACAGAUUUUUGGUUUCUAAAGUGUGAGUCUAAAAGCAGUGCUGCUGGGCCAGGCGCAGGUGACUCAUGCCUGUAAUCCCAGCACUUUGGGAGGCCGAGGCGGGCAGAUUACGAGGUCAGGAGUUCGAGACUAGCUUGGCCAACACUGUGAAACACCGUCUCUACUAAAAAUACAAAAAUUAGCUGGGUGUGGUGGUGCGUGCCUGUAGUCCCAGCCACUAGGGAGGCUGAGGCAGAAGAAUCACUUGAAGCCGGGAGGCAGAGGUUGCAGUGAGCAGAGAUCAGGCCACUGCACUCCAUCCUGGCAACAGAGUGAGACCCAGUCUCAAAAAUAAAGAAAGAAAUAAAAAUAAAAGCAAUGCUACUAAGACAUCUGCGGCUGUCAGGGAGAAGGAAUUUCUGUGUGGGACAGGCAGCACUCCCUCUCAACAGGGACUCUGCCCCCCACCAUAUGUAUCUUCUCCAUAGGAGUCCUUCAAUAAAUGCCUCAGCCAACAAUCACUGCUCCCCUUCUCUGGGCCAAAAAUUUUCAUCCCAUUCCAACUCCUUCUCCCCUGUAGCCAACACCACCUCCAAACAUCUACCCUUCUCCUAAGUUAGCCCAAAGCAACACAAAGAGCCACACCUACUUUCCAUUCCCAGUUGCGUUCUCCCGCCUGUGGUUUCCGGUCUGAGCUCCUCCCAAUAUGGCGGACACCAGAAGUGCUUUGACGGCCGGUGGGUGGCCAUCUCCACCUGUAGCGCUAAGGCCGCCUACUGCUCAA